rnacentral:tRNA from 1 species
GCCUGAGUGGCGGAAUUGGUAGACGCGCCGGAUUCAAAAUCCGGUAACCAUUUCGGUUGUGGGGGUUCGAGUCCCCCCUCAGGUA